ACUGCGCAUGCGCGGACUCUGGUCGUCUGAGUAAAGCCUUUUCUGGGUACAGGUCAGUCUGCGCUGUAUGGGGGCGUCUGCGCUGUAUAGGGGGGUCUGCGCUGUAGGGGGGUCUGCGCUGUUUAGGGGGGUCUGCGCUAUAUAUGGGGGUCUGCGCUAUAUAUGGGGAUCUGCGCUGUAUAGGGGGGUCUGCACUGUAUAGGGGGGUCUGCGCUGUAUAUGGGGGGGCUGCGCAGUUUAUUGGGGGGGCUGUGAAGUAUAUUGGGUGGCCUGUGUGUUAAAUGUGGGGGGCAGUGUGUUAGAUGGAGGGGCUGUUUGUUACAUGUGGGGGGGCAGUGUAUUAUAUUUGGGGGCUGUGCGUUAGAUGGGGAGCUGUACAGUACGUGUGGCCUGUGUGUUAGAUGUGUAGUUUCACUGAAAAAUAUUUAUUUCCUAGAUAUCAUAUGCCAUGGCAUGCUUUUUGCUAUGAAACCGCUGCCAUCUAGUCACUCGCCAGAGAAGGAUGAGAAACUGCACCCCAGCGAGAGGGACAGCCCCACAUCUGCAACCAAAUCCGUCGGUCACCAAAUUCAGUAAUCUCCGUCUCUUUGUGCAUUGUGUAUGUAUGGUACUCCCAAUUCUUAUAUUUAAUCCGGUGUGUCUCCCACAAUCUUUGUGUCUGUCUGUUGUAUGUAUGUGGCACGCAAGUCUGCAUGCACUGUGUCUGUUAUGCCAGUUACUCUAACCAGUUUAUUUCUUUUUGUGUGUGUCACAGCUCUGACAAGCAUGUUCUCCUAUGGGACACGAAGUACAUGAAGAGGAAUGAAGAAGCCCAUGUUUGAUGCUCGUCUCCAGGGUGGAGUAUUGAAUUUAUAACUAAUGAAGUGGCAUCUGACACAUGAUAAGCUGCUCCUGUUUGCACAGCAACUUCAACAUUGUGUACUGUGAUCACGGCAUAGUUCAGAG